UACGUAGGUGGCGAGCGUUGUCCGGAUUUACUGGGCGUAAAGAGCGCGCAGGCGGCUGGUCAAGUCCGAUGUGAAAGCUCCCGGCUUAACUGGGAAAUUGCAUCGGAAACUGAUCGGCUGGAAGGUGGGAGAGGGUAGCGGAAUUCCCGGUGUAGUGGUGAAAUGCGUAGAUAUCGGGAGGAACACCAGUGGCGAAAGCGGCUACCUGGCCCUGUCCUGACGCUCAGGGGCGAAAGCGUGGGGAGCAAACCGG
rnacentral:rRNA from 1 species